UACGAGGGGUGCAAGCGUUGCUCGGAAUUAUUGGGCGUAAAGGGUAGGUAGGUGGUCUCAUUUGUCUGGGGUGAAAGCCUCGAGCUUAACUCGAGAAGUGCCUCGGAAACGGUGAGACUAGAGUCUUGGAGAGGGUCGUGGAAUUCCCGGUGUAGCGGUGAAAUGCGUAGAGAUCGGGAGGAACACCAGCGGCGAAGGCGGCGAUCUGGGAAGAUACUGACGCUGAGGUGCGAAAGCGUGGGGAGCAAACAGG
rnacentral:rRNA from 1 species